CGAAAGAAAGAUUAAUACCUGAUGGUAUGAUGAGAUUGCAUGAUAGCAUCAUUAAAGAUUUAUCGGUGUACGAUGGGGAUGCGUUCCAUUAGGUAGUAGGCGGGGUAACGGCCCACCUAGCCAACGAUGGAUAGGGGUUCUGAGAGGAAGGUCCCCCACAUUGGAACUGAGACACGGUCCAAACUCCUACGGGAGGCAGCAGUGAGGAAUAUUGGUCAAUGGACGAGAGUCUGAACCGGCCAAGUAGCGUGAAGGAUGAAGGUCCUACGGAUUGUAAACUUCUUUUAUAAGGGAAUAAACCCUCCCACGUGUGGGAGCUUGUAUGUACCUUAUGAAUAAGCAUCGGCUAACUCCGUGCCAGCAGCCGCGGUAAUACGGAGGAUGCGAGCGUUAUCCGGAUUUAUUGGGUUUAAAGGGAGCGCAGACGGGUCGUUAAGUCAGCUGUGAAAGUUUGGGGCUCAACCUUAAAAUUGCAGUUGAUACUGGCGUCCUUGAGUGCGGUUGAGGUGUGCGGAAUUCGUGGUGUAGCGGUGAAAUGCUUAGAUAUCACGAAGGACUCCGAUUACGAAGGCAGCACACUAAUCCGUAACUGACGUUCAUGCUCGAAAGUGUGGGUAUCAAACA
rnacentral:rRNA from 1 species